rnacentral:rRNA from 1 species
GGAAUCUUAGACAAUGGGCGCAAGCCUGAUCUAGCCAUGCCGCGUGAGCGAUGAAGGCCUUAGGGUUGUAAAGCUCUUUCAGUGGGGAAGAUAAUGACUGUACCCACAGAAGAAGCCCCGGCUAACUCCGUGCCAGCAGCCGCGGUAAUACGGAGGGGGCUAGCGUUGUUCGGAAUUACUGGGCGUAAAGCGCACGUAGGCGGACUGGAAAGUCAGAGGUGAAAUCCCAGGGCUCAACCUUGGAACUGCCUUUGAAACUCCCGGUCUUGAGUUCGAGGGAGGUGAGUGGAAUUCCGAGUGUAGAGGUGAAAUUCGUAGAUAUUCGGAGGAACACCAGUGGCGAAGGCGGCUCACUGGCUCGAUACUGACGCUGAGGUGCGAAAGUGUGGGGAGCAAA